AUUGAACGCUGGCGGCAGGCCUAACACAUGCAAGUCGAGCGGAUGAAGGGGGCUUGCUCCUGGAUUCAGCGGCGGACGGGUGAGUAAUGCCUAGGAAUCUGACUGGUAGAGGGGGAUAACGUCCGGAAACGGGCGCUAAUACCGCAUACGUCCAGAGGGAGAAAGUGGGGGAUCUUCGGACCUCACGCUAUCAGAUGAGCCUAGGUCGCAUUAGCUAGUUGGUGGGGUAAAGGCUUACCAAGGCGACGAUCCGUAACUGGUCUGAGAGGAUGAUCAGUCACACUGGAACUGAGACACGGUCCAGACUCCUACGGGAGGCAGCAGUGGGGAAUAUUGGACAAUGGGCGAAAGCCUGAUCCAGCCAUGCCGCGUGUGUGAAGAAGGUCUUCGGAUUGUAAAGCACUUUUAGUUGGGAGGAAGGGCAGUAAGUUUAUACCUUGCUGUUUUGACGUUACCAACAGAGUAAGCACCGGCUAACUUCGUG
rnacentral:rRNA from 1 species